GCAAGGGCAGGGAGGCAGGGCAGCAACAAAAAAAUGCGUUUAAUGACAGGGCAUUUGCACUAUGCUCAACUCACUCGCUUUCUCUCUCUCUCCCUCUCUCUCUUUCUCUUACUCUCUAAUACUCACGAUCUCUUGCUCUGCUUCUUCACAUCCUGCCAACUGCAUCAUUAUAAUCUUUUGUUGUUUUUUUUUUUUUUUUUUUUGGGUCAGGGUUGAGCCAGAAACUAAAAACUGAAUCCGGAACAGGAGCCACGUAGGAAAAGUUUUUUUUUUUAAUCCCCAUAUUGCGAGAGCAUCAACAAUAAGCUGAAAAUGCAAAUUUGCAUAAGUUUUGCGCGCUUGAAAAAUGGAAGAAGAGAAAUUUGAAAAUAACAAAAAACAUCAAAUAAGUAAAACUGAGCCCAAACGCGGAACAACAGAUGUGCCAAGGCAACGCAGUCCGAUGAGAGUUAAAGUGAAACAGGAAGAGAGAGAGCGAAAGAGAGAGAGAGAGGGAGCGGAUGAGCGAGAGGCUGCCAGAGAUAAAGGCUUGAGAACCUAGAGACUGGGAACCAGGCAGUCGUCGUGAGGCAGCUAACCAAAUCGGAGCUAAAGAUGGAUUUGCGCUAGGAUGGAGGCAACAUAUUGUAAGAGUUUCUACUCUGAAGUUUACAUCGGGUUGACGGAUAGACGAACAAACAGAGAGACGUCUGGAGAGACAUGCAAUAUACUCUUUCGCUUCUUGCAUGGAUCGAAUAAAGAUAAUUGAAAAACUUGUCGGCAAUUUAAGUGAACUCGAUUGGCCUACUGGAUAUCAUAGCAUAUUAGACCUAACAUCAUCCUCGAUACUAUGAAUAAGUCAUUGAUUAAUUCGGUGUCUAUGUUAGCUAAACGACUUGCCAUGUCCAAUGACACUCGGGAAUAUGCCUACAUGAAAGAUUAAUACAACUAAGUGAAUUGAUAUGAGCUUCCCUUGCAGCGUCGGCGAUGGGCGGCAAUCGCAAAUGGAGUGGAUAUUCAACUGGAUGUGGGCGAAGUCGCAUUCGGCAAAUCAUUUUGAGGGAUCUGCUCUGGGAUAUGUGCACGGACGUUGCUCGGCAACAGCUAAGCCAACCAGACCAGCCCAACCACCCAGAAACCCAUCUACGUAGGCCAAGUCCAUGACAACAUUAGAACACCCCACCCCCACCCCCACCUGCUCUGCUCCUGCUGCUCUCCUUCUGUACGACACGCCUGAAGCCGGGGAUUCGAGUUGGUGCGUGCCUGUCGGCCCAUAACGGAUAUUUGCGUUGUCAUAUCAAAGUCCCAUAUGGCCCGUAAACGUAGCCCCGCGACGCGAAGAGGGUGGCAUUGCUCCCUGUGCAUGUGUGUGUGCGCGUGUGUGUGGGUUAGCAAAAGUGUCAUCAAAGCCUAGGGCGCUCCAAGGAUGCCAUCAAAAAUGCCAGUCGCAUGACUAUAUGCGAGAUAUACUUAUGUAUAUGCAUGAUAAAAAGUUUCAGUAUAUGUAUAGAUGGACGCCACAGACACACACACACACACAUACAGACAGACACACUGACACACACACACACACACACACACACACACCGUAAGACAGUUACAUGGCGUAAAGCGCAGGAAUAAACGAAAUGUGAUAAUAAAAUACAAAACCAAUAAAGGAAAGAGCUCUUUACA